rnacentral:tRNA from 1 species
GCCAGCAUGGUGUAAUGGUUUGAGCACUGCACUAUGACUCUAGAGACCAGGGUUCAAAUCCCUGCUCACC